rnacentral:rRNA from 1 species
CAGUCGCCGCGGUAAUACAGAGGGUGCAAGCGUUAAUCGGAUUUACUGGGCGUAAAGGGCGCGUAGGUGGUUAUUUAAGUGAGAUGUGAAAGCCCCGGGCUUAACCUGGGAACUGCAUCUUAUACUGGGUAACUGGAGUGCAGUAGAGGGUAGUGGAAUUUCCGGUGUAGCGGUGAAAUGCGUAGAUAUCGGAAGGAACACCAGUGGCGAAGGCGGCUACCUGGACUGAGACUGACACUGAGGCGCGAGAGCGUGGGGAGCAAACAGGAUUAGAUACCCGCGUAGUCCCUGUCUCUUAUAA